rnacentral:rRNA from 1 species
GAUGAACGCUGGCGGCGUGCUUAACACAUGCAAGUCGAACGAUGAAGCCCAGCUUGCUGGGUGGAUUAGUGGCGAACGGGUGAGUAACACGUGAGUAACCUGCCCUUGACUCUGGGAUAAGCCUGGGAAACUGGGUCUAAUACUGGAUAUGACUUCUCAUCGCAUGGUGGGGGGUGGAAAGAUUUAUUGGUCUUGGAUGGACUCGCGGCCUAUCAGCUUGUUGGUGAGGUAAUGGCUCACCAAGGCGACGACGGGUAGCCGGCCUGAGAGGGUGACCGGCCACACUGGGACUGAGACACGGCCCAGACUCCUACGGGAGGCAGCAGUGGGGAAUAUUGCACAAUGGGCGCAAGCCUGAUGCAGCGACGCCGCGUGAGGGAUGACGGCCUUCGGGUUGUAAACCUCUUUCAGUAGGGAAGAAGCGAGAGUGACGGUACCUGCAGAAGAAGCGCCGGCGAACUACGU